AGAGGCAGGCAGCAUACAGUCACCUUCAACUCUUCUGCGGAAGUGAACUGGGAGGAAUGGAUUUUACCAGGGAAUGAUUCCAGCCAAUGAAGCAAGACCUACUCCUUGCUCCAUUACCUGAAGGAGGCUUGACUGGGGAUCCAUCUGUCAUCACUAAGAAUGAAAGCUCUUUGAGAACUGGGGCCUUGUUUACACAGUCUGUGCCCAGCCCUGGAAAUGUAAUCGGGGCUCAUUAAAUAUUUGCUGAAUACACAAAUGCAUCUACAACAGCUAAAACCAGCGCAGCCACAGUGAGCCCUCUUCCGAUUAAAUAGGCUACGCCUCAUAAGCUCCACGAUGGUUUCCACAGGGAACCCCUGUGUACCUACAUUAUUCAGGUGUGUAUCUACACUAUAAAGCUAAUCUGGUAGAAGAAGAAAGACCCCUACCCUAGUAGGGCCUCCUCCCCAAACAACUUCAGGACACUCGGUCCCUACUAGAACAAAGUUUCAAAAACAACUGGCUUGGGGUGAUGGAUAUGUUCCAUGUCAGUUAUACCUCCACAAAGCUGUUAAAACAAAACAAAACAAAAAACUGACUAAAGGAUAAGAAAGAAGGAUAAAGACAUGCAGAGCAUUCUAAAGAUAAAAUGGACUGAAACAUCCCUUUCUAUCUACAUACCUGGCUCAGCCCAAUCCCUACCCCCUCCAAGCACCUGCCUGACCAAGUGCAGGACUCUUGCAGUAGAAUCCUGACCGCCAUCCCUGGCUACAGCCUCUGCAUCUGGCGUCAGGGAUCACACCGACCUGCUUUGUCAUCUUCAUAUAGCUCUCGGAAACUGCCUCUCUCAUUCUGCCUUCCACUCUUUGAGAUGUAAUUUUGCCUCAAGUUUCUUCCUUAGUCGAGAGUGAAUGAUGAGCAGCCUAUGCUAGAAAAUCUAUGGCUGUUGUUUCAAACUGUCAAGUCUCUCUAGAGGCCCGGUCCAGACCAACUUGGAUGAUGUACCUAU